CAGAAGAUCAUAAAAAUAUAUGUUGUGAGGAGACAGGUCACCAUGAAGAGGAACUCAUGCAGAAGUUGGAAAUGGAAAUCAAGGUGGCCAACAAAACAAAGGAACAGUAAGAGACAUGCAAAGAGUGGAGCAAGUUUCUCAUUUUAAAGAGGGACACUGAAUAAAAAGCUUGAAGCAUAGAAACAUUUUCUGUAGUAUCUCUGGGGUGGAAAAUGAAUUGGAAGAAUUACAAGCCUAUGGUUCACUGUGAGAAAAUUUAUGUGGGUGUUUAAGUGUUUUGAAAAUUUUACUCACUUUAUGAAAUAUUCAAAAGACAUGGGGAAAAAAAGCAAAAGGA